UGGAGAGUUUGAUCCUGGCUCAGAUUGAACGCUGGCGGCAGGCCUAACACAUGCAAGUCGAGCGGUAACAGNAGAAAGCUUGCUUUCUUUGCUGACGAGCGGCGGACGGGUGAGUAAUGCCUAGGGAACUGCCCAGUCGAGGGGGAUAACAGUUGGAAACGACUGCUAAUACCGCAUACGCCCUACGGGGGAAAGGAGGGGCUCUUCGGACCUUUCGCGAUUGGAUGUACCUAGGUGGGAUUAGCUUGUUGGUGAGGUAAGAGCUCACCAAGGCGACGAUCCCUAGCUGUUCUGAGAGGAUGAUCAGCCACACUGGGACUGAGACACGGCCCAGACUCCUACGGGAGGCAGCAGUGGGGAAUAUUGCACAAUGGGCGAAAGCCUGAUGCAGCCAUGCCGCGUGUGUGAAGAAGGCCUUCGGGUUGUAAAGCACUUUCAGCGAGGAGGAAAGGUUAACGGUUAAUACCCGUUAGCUGUGACGUUACUCGCAGAAGAAGCACCGGCUAACUUCGUGCCAGCAGCCGCGGUAAUAC
rnacentral:rRNA from 1 species